CUCGGAGUUUGAUCCUGGCUCAGAUUGAACGCUGACGGAAUGCUUUACACAUGCAAGUCGAACGGUAGAGGGGGCAACCCCCUCGAGAGUGGCGAACGGGUGAGUAAUAUAUCGGAACGUGCCCAGUCGUGGGGGAUAACGUAGUGAAAAUUACGCUAAUACCGCAUACGAUCUAAGGAUGAAAGCGGGGGAUCGCAAGACCGUCGCGCGAUUGGAGCGGCCGAUAUCAGAUUAGGUAGUUGGU
rnacentral:rRNA from 1 species